UUCCUACUAGAUGAGGGUGAUUU
rnacentral:snRNA from 1 species